rnacentral:rRNA from 1 species
AUUGAACGCUGGCGGCAGGCCUAACACAUGCAAGUCGACCUUAGUGGCGAACGGGUGAGUAACACGUGGGUAACCUGCCCAUAAGAAGGGGAUAACACUUGGAAACAGGUGCUAAUACCGUAUACUGAGGGAUGGACCCGCGGUGCAUUAGCUAGUGGGGGGGGUAACGGCUCACCAAGGCCACGAUGCAUAGCCGACCUGAGAGGGUGAUCGGCCACAUUGGGACUUAGACACGGCCCAAACUCCUACGGGAGGCAGCAGUAGGGAAUCUUCGGCAAUGAACGAAAGGCUGACCGAGCAACGCCGCGUGAGUGAAGAAGGUUUUCGGAUCGUAAAACUCUUUUGUUAGAGAAGCGGUAUCUAACCAGAAAGCCACGGCUAACUCCGUGCCAGCCGCCGCGGUAAUAC